GACGAACGCUGGCGGCGUGCUUAACACAUGCAAGUCGAACGGAAAGGCCCUGCUUUUGUGGGGUGCUCGAGUGGCGAACGGGUGAGUAACACGUGAGUAACCUGCCCUUGACUUUGGGAUAACUUCAGGAAACUGGGGCUAAUACCGGAUAGGAGCUCCUGCUGCAUGGUGGGGGUUGGAAAGUUUCGGCGGUUGGGGAUGGACUCGCGGCUUAUCAGCUUGUUGGUGGGGUAGUGGCUGACCAAGGCUAUGACGGGUAGCCGGCCUGAGAGGGUGACCGGCCACAUUGGUACUGAGAUACGGCCCAGCCUCCUACGGGAGGCAGCAGUGGGGAGUAUUGCACGAUGGGCGGAAGCCUGAUGCAGCAACGCCGCGUGCGGGAUGACGGCCUUCGGGUUGUAAACCGCUUUCGCCUGUGACGAAGCGUGAGUGACGGUAAUGGGUAAAGAAGCACCGGCUAACUACGUG
rnacentral:rRNA from 1 species